GGAUGUUCCAUUGAGUCUGUCUCGAACGAGAUACGUACUUAUAUGCGGCGUCCAUCCUCGGAGCGAACGUAUGUGUCAUUCAGUUGAUGUAUACGGUUACUUCGUCAUUUACUGUGAGCAAAUUAGAGUGUUCAAAGCAGGCCGUUACGGCUUGAAUAUCUUAGCAUGGAAUAAUAGAAUAGGACUUUGGUUCUAUUUUGUUGGUUUCUAGGACUAGAGUA
rnacentral:rRNA from 1 species